ensembl:misc_RNA Metazoa_SRP Metazoan signal recognition particle RNA
GUUGGGCAUGGUGGCGGAUACCUGUAGCCCCAGCUACUCAGGUGGCUGAGGUGGGAGGAUCACUUGAGCCCAGGAGUUCAAGGUUGCAGUGAGCUGUGAUCAGGUCACUGCACUCCAGCCUGGGUGAUAGGGCGAAACUUGUCGUCUCAAGGAAAAAAAAUGAGCCAGGCUCAGUGGCUCAAGCCUGUAAUCCCAACACUUUGGGAGGCCAAGGCAGGUGGAUCACCUGAGCUCAGGAGUUGGAGACCAGCCUGGCUAACAAGGUGAAACCCCAUCUCU